rnacentral:rRNA from 1 species
GAUCAUGGCUCGGGACGAACGCUGGCGGCGUGCCUAACACAUGCAAGUCGAGCGGAGACAGUGAGUAGCUUGCUAUGAGCUGUUUUAGCGGCGGACGGGUGAGUAACGCGUGAGCAACCUUUCCCAGACAGGGGAAUAACACACCGAAAGGUGUACUAAUACCGCAUAAGACCACGGAAUCACAUGGUUCUGGGGUAAAAGAAUUAUCGGUUUGGGGUGGGCUCGCGUCCGAUUAGGUAGUUGGUGAGGUAACGG